CGGAAGGAGUGGUGGACUGCUAAGAAGAGAGAAUGCCGGAAUGAGUAGCGAGAUUGAAGUGAGAAUCUUCAAGGCCGAAUAUCUAAGGUUUCCAGGGUAAAGCUGAUCUGCCCUGGGUAAGUCGGGGCCUAAGGCGAGGUCGAAAGACGUAGCCGAUGGACAACAGGUUGAAAUUCCUGUACUGCGAUAUAUCAGAAAUGUGGGGACACAGAAGGAAAGUGUGAGCCGGGAAAGGAAAGACCGGUGCAAGCAUAGGAGGAGAGAUACAGGCAAAUCCGUAUUUCAAUCCAAUGGUGUUACGCGGAGCGAACAAAAGUAGCGAAGCACACAGACCAUCUGUCGAGAAAAGCCGCUAUUGUGUAUAUCGUACCCGUACCGUAAACCGACACAGGUGGAUGAGGAGAGAAUCCUAAGGCCGGCGGGAGAAGCAUUGUUAAGGAACUCGGCAAAAUGACCCCGUAACUUCGGGAGAAGGGGUGCUCACGCAAGUGAGCCGCAGAGAACUGGCCCAAGCAACUGUUUAGCAAAAACACAGGUCUAUGCAAAACCGAAAGGUGAGGUAUAUGGGCUGACGCCUGCCCGGUGCUGGAAGGUUAAGAGGAGAUGUUAGAGCAAUCGAAGCAUUGAAUUUAAGCCCCAGUAAACGGCGGCCGUAACUAUAACGGUCCUAAGGUAGCGAAAUUCCUUGUCGGGUAAGUUCCGACCCGCACGAAAGGCGUAAUGAUUUGGGCACUGUCUCGACAAUGCACCCGGUGAAAUUGAAAUACCAGUGAAGAUGCUGGUUACCUGCGCCAGGACGGAAAGACCCCAUGGAGCUUUACUCUAGCUUGAUACUGGGAUUCGGUAUUGCAUGUACAGGAUAGGUGGGAGACUAAGAGGUGAUGACGCCAGUUGUCACGGAGUCGAUGUUGGGAUACCACCCCUGCAGUACUGGGUUUCUAACCUGCGGCCGUGACCCGGCCGGGGGACAAUGUCUGGUGGGGAGUUUGACUGGGGCGGUCGCCUCCGAAAGGGUAUCGGAGGCGCUCAAAGGUUCCCUCAGAAUGGUUGGAAACCAUUCGAAGAGUGCAAAGGCAGAAGGGAGCUUGACUGCGACACCGACGGGUGGAGCAGGUACGAAAGUAGGACUUAGUGAUCCGGUGGUAUGAAAGUGGGAUUGCCAUCGCUCAACGGAUAAAAGCUACCCUGGGGAUAACAGGCUUAUCACUCCCAAGAGUUCACAUCGACGGAGUGGUUUGGCACCUCGAUGUCGGCUCAUCGCAUCCUGGGGCUGUAGUAGGUCCCAAGGGUUGGGCUGUUCGCCCAUUAAAGCGGUACGCGAGCUGGGUUCAGAACGUCGUGAGACAGUUCGGUCCCUAUCCGGCGUGGGCGUAGGAUAUCUGAGAGGAGCUGUCCUUAGUACGAGAGGACCGGGAUGGACUGACCUCUGGUGCAUCGGUUGAGCCACCAGGCUCAUGGCCGAGUAGCCAAGUCGGGACGGGAUAAACGCUGAAGGCAUCUAAGCGUGAAGCCCCCCUCAAGAUGAGAUAUCCCAUAGAGUUAAUCUAGUAAGACCCCUUGAAGACGACGAGGUAGAUAGGCAGAAGGUGGAAGUGUGGUGACAUAUGGAGCUGAUCUGUACUAAUAGGUCGAGGGCUUAACCGA
rnacentral:rRNA from 1 species